rnacentral:rRNA from 1 species
GAUGAACGCUGGCGGCGUGCUUAACACAUGCAAGUCGAACGGGAAACCUUUUAUUGAAGCUUCGGCAGAUUUAGCUGGUUUCUAGUGGCGGACGGGUGAGUAACGCGUGGGUAACCUGCCUUAUACAGGGGGAUAACAACCAGAAAUGGUUGCUAAUACCGCAUAAGCGCACAGGACCGCAUGGUCCGGUGUGAAAAACUCCGGUGGUAUAAGAUGGACCCGCGUUGGAUUAGCUAGUUGGCAGGGUAACGGCCUACCAAGGCGACGAUCCAUAGCCGGCCUGAGAGGGUGAACGGCCACAGUGGGACUGAGACACGGCCCAGACUCCUACGGGAGGCAGCAGUGGGGAAUAUUGCACAAUGGGGGAAACCCUGAUGCAGCGACGCCGCGUGAAGGAAGAAGUAUCUCGGUAUGUAAACUUCUAUCAGCAGGGAAGAUAGUGACGGUACCUGACUAAGAAGCCCCGGCUAACUACGCG